GAUUUUUUCAUUUUACAUAACCGGACAUGAAAAUUCCAGAAUCUACACCCAACAUCCUUUCAAGCCACGUUUAGCUCAUACAUGUGCUGCCGAAGAGAACACAACAACACACUCAGAGACAGAGCCCAUAGACAAUGGCACCAGAGGAUCUAGGAGCAGAUUUCACUCUCUCCAUCAAUUUACCUUCCCAUAUUUUCCCACCUUUUGGAAGCCUGAAGAUGCUUUCUUCUUUU
rnacentral:lncRNA from 1 species